AACCCAUGGUGAGGGCACCUUCUCAAUAAAUCCUUAUACCUCUCCCAUGCAUCAUAUAUGGUUUCUAAGUCAACCUACUCGAAGGAAGAGAUAUCAUUCCUUAGCUU
rnacentral:snoRNA from 1 species